UAUGCCAAUCUAUGUUAUAAUGGCAUAUGUUUCUUACUUCGUAUCAGGCCAGAAGUUUGAAACUUUCAAAGCUGUACAUUCGGUGUGUUUAUGGCAUCCAUUCCCCGCAGCAGAUUGAAGGUUUGUAGCAGCCCUGCAUCAAGGAGUUAACACUACUUUCCAAACAGCUGAGAUGAUGAUUAGCCUUUUUUACCAAUAAUGAAUUUUUAAAUUAAGUGGUCUGGAGCAACCGACAAUACUCUGAAGUAUGCCUAUACAUUCAAUUAAUACUAGUCUGAAUUGAGACUGGAAAUUUAAGUAAGUCAUCCAUGGAAAGGUAAAGAAAAAAAGCAUUCCAGGAAAAAGGCAUAGCUUGUGAAAAGUCAUAGAAUAAUGGAUGGCACGUGCUAUUUUCUUUUUUUUUUAAUGAGUUUUUUUUUUCAUGUUUAUGUUAUUUAUUUAUAUGCGGUGCUGAGGAUCAAACCCAGGGCCUGACACAUGAUAGGGGAGUGUUCUACCACUGAGCCACAAGCCCAGCCCCACACAUGCCCUUUUCAAGAAACUUCCAGCUAUUCUCUAAGGUGAGAGCAGAAGACACACGUUUUGCACAAUCAACACUUGAGAACCAAUCGGAGUGACUUGUUGCUAGAUUUGUUAUUGUCUUUCUCAUGUUUUGUUUAAAACCAACCAACAAAAUUAAUAAACAUAAAACCAACCUUUGUUGUGAUCCCAAGUUCCCUCUUAUUCUUCUCUUCAUGCUGGGUUGGU